CUUUGGCGGUGUGGUUGCCCGGGUAAUGUUAUGGCCGCUACCGAGUGGCCGAGGGGUGUGUGUGCGGGUCCCAGGGCGCCAGUCGGAGCUGGGAGCUUGUGGAGGACGUGCGGGCCACGUCUUGAGUGGUCGGAGGUCCUCAGGAGGCCUCCGUGUCCCUUUUCAUUUACACACCCCGGCCUCAGGGGUUAGGCGUCCCGGCAACAGCCUGUGAGCCGGUGCCGGGAGUGUGGAGGUGGACGUAGCUCACUGGCAUGUUACCACAGAAGAGCCAAAGCUGCUUUCUCAGCUACCGGAGAGCACGGAGAAGGUUAUUCCAGCCUCAGGGAGUCGGGUGGAGGGUGGUGGAGAGAACGCGGGGAUAAGGAGCAGACCGGAUGCAGGCGCCUCACCCUCGCUUCCCGGUGCCUGGACAGCCCUCUCCCCUCAAAGACUAGACCCCAUGCCUGGCACCCGGGAGCUCUUUUUACUCGCUCUGUCUCUGUGAUCACUUUCUGCUCUGCUUGCUUGCUGACAGUGGAUCCCAGUACUUUUCUUUCCUACUCCUCUUUCUUUUUCCGGACGACCGAGCUCUGCUUUCUUUGCUCACCCCAUUGCUUCUUAAAUAGAUCACUGUCCUGUCUACAGAAACCGCAGAACAAUUCCUUCUCCCAGAGCCCUUCUUAGUUUCCUAAAUUGGGGCCCCAACCUGCACUUCUGUACUUUCCCCAUCUCCUGCACUGAAUGGAGGGAAAAUGUGGCUCAACAGUGGUGCUACACACACCUGAAGCUCAUUCACAUACAGCACAUACAGAUGGUCCAUCUACACACUUCUUCCUUCGAACUGCUGUGCUGCUUUUCAUUUGACAGCCUUGGAUGCUCAUUUUUACUCCCGUUUAGAAACUCGAAGGAUAACUGUGUACGUGGUGGGAUUUACCCCAUUUUAGACCGUGCUUCUCAACCUUCUUUUACUUGUCACAUUAACUGAGAAGAUAUUUUUAAUGACUAAGUGCCCAAAGGCAGAACUCUACAAAUUUCCAGGGAAUUUCAGUAUAGUGAAAUAUCCCUGACAGGUAUCUACCCUAGAUCCAUGAAUUGUAAAUACCUGUGAUACCAUAAAUGCUUCAAAUGUAAAUAACAGUAUUGUUUGAGAUCUCCAGCAUACCACCAUUUAUGAAAAGAGUGCUGAAAUCCCAAAACAUAAAUAUGUAUAUAACAAGUCCUUUCUUUUCUUAAAUGGAUCUGUGUUGAAAAAAGGAAAAGAGCAACUAUACAUGGCAUCCCACUCAAACUGUAACUUCAGUUCUAUAGCUUACAGUGGAUUUUUCUUUUAAAAGCCAUCCUGUUGGUUUGGAGCCAAUUGGCCUUCUCAAUUAUGAGAAAAGAAUCCCAGCCUAGAAUAAUGGCUGCUCUUAUUGUGUAGGAACAUAGUAGUAAUAGUUACAAAACUUGUAGCCAAGUACAAGUGUUAUUCCCAAGGUUUCAGAAGGGUGACUUGGAAGAAAUGCAUGGUAUUGCUCUGCAGUGCUUGAUUGAUGUGGACAGUAAGUGCUUAACUGAGCUGACUCUUCCCUUACGGUGCCUGCUAGCUGUCUCUUGAAUUUGGGGAUGCUUAGCUUCACUAUUAGACUCAGAGGUAUAUUUUUUAUUCUAGAAAGGUGAGCACUUGCUUUAGUUUGCCUUUAGCUGGAUAGUUUCCUUGGCAGCUGCUGAUGGUUUUGAUAGAGCUUCUGAUGGACUAGGAACUGCUUGGAACUAAUGCUAAAUUUUGCUUGGUAAAGAUGCUAUUAGUCAUGUUAGAUACUCUUCAGUGAGAUUUUGGUACUAUGCAUGAUUAAUCUUCAUCCCUAGUAUUACUCUGUACAUAGCUAUACAGAGCAUUAAUUUUUCCGUGAUUUCUACUCCCCCAAGAGAAAUUAGAAUGCAGUCUGGCUCUAAGAAAACACUGGAAACUACUUAAGCUGGUAAUGGAAAAUACUGGAAUUCUAUACAUCCUUUGGGAUAAAGGAAGCAGCAGCCAGUGUUCUUUGGAUUUGGGGAAAAGUUUUGGUAGUAACGAAGACCUUAUUUUAAACCUAGCCCUGCUUAGAUGGAGAUUGGGGUUUUUUUCUUUUCUUUUCCUUCCUUCUUUCCUUAAUUCCCUUCUCUUUCUUUCCUUUCUUCCCUUCUUCUAGCCUCCUCCCCUCACUCUCUCUCUCUUCCUUCCUUUGCCCUAGAACUUAGGGAAUUCUGCCUUCUCAUUUUAUAUUUAGGAAGAAUAGAAUACUACUUUUCUCUGAAUUGGUAUUUAUGUUUGGAGAGGUAAGAAAAAGGGGAAUAGCUUCCUGCCAUAUAAACUUAUGACAUGGAGAUAAUCUAUUCAUUUAUCUUUGUACUACUAUUGGCUGUUUAUUCAACUUUUGAAAAAUCAGGUACUAUUUAUUCACUGAGUUUGUGAGGAACUCUAGUAGUCUGUCUUUUAUUCAGUGACCAUGAAGGAAAGGAGGGAACAGGUUAAAGGAUAUUGUUUUUAUUCCUUUCUGAAUGAAUUAAAUGUGCAAACAACCAUAUAUCUCUGAUUUAAAUGUUGAAUAACUUUAUACUGCUUAUCAACGUUAUUUUUUCAAGAGAAAGAAGAAGAUGCUACCUUCAGAUCUUUUCUAUGGGAAUUCUGGUGAUGUCUCAAAAAAUUUAAUUGCUCUUUAUCAGUAGUUCUCGUUUUAUGGAGAGAGAUUUAGGUUGCAGAUCACACAGUGUAAUCCUCGGGAAGCAAAUCCUUCAUUAGAGGAUACUGAAGAAUGGAACAUUUUACAAAAUUCCCAGAUAAGUAAGGUACAAAGUGAAGGUGUACAGUGUGAAUUACUAGGACUUCUUACAUUAAAAAAAAUUAUAGUGUGUACAUGUACAACUUCAUUAAGUUAUGUAGAGACUAUACUUGUAUACUUGUUGAACUUAGUGAUAUUAAGGCUCUUAGUAUCGGUUCUUUCUAAAAGCAGCAACGUUUUCUUAUGCAUUUAUUCUGAUAACUGGGGAAAGUUUCUUAUGUGACCCUGACGUUCUUCUAGUCAAAAACCUUGAAUGGCUUUGUAGCAUAAUUCCUUAUCCUGGCAUUCAGAGCUUACCAAGGUGUAACCCUAGUCUUGCAGUCCAGUGUGUACAGGGUAUAGUCAACUAAAUAAACCCUCUCUUUUUUUAUAUCUGGAGGAAAAGUGCUCAUUUAGCCAACUAAUUGAUGAAGGUAUAGAUAACAAUAUCAAUAUGAGGCUUUAGUUACAUACAACUGGUUAGUAUGCUUCAAACUACCCUGUAAUUUCCCCUCUCCAUGCUUUACUUUCUAUUCUUUUUAGUGGAAAUAUUUUUCUAGCUCUCCUUACUUGCCAUGUACCUAUCCAUCUUUUAUGGUUGAGUUCAGAUGCUACUUCUAUCAUGAACCCAUUCUUUAUCCUCCCUGUGAGAAUUCAUUUUUCUCUCCUCUUUGAUCCCACAGCCCUUAAUUUGAGCCCCCAUUUUAGUCUGCUUUAUACCACUUUCUCUGCAUAGCUGUUUCCCAUGAUAAAUAAGAUCCUUUUUGGAAAACUGAACUUUGGGCUCAUAUGAUUCUUUCAUAGGAAACUAUCAGACUGUCUCUGCUUGGGUUAUAGAAAUAUGUUGUCUGUUGCACACCAGACAAGUUCCAGAAUACCAGCAACUGCUGCUACUUGGGGUAAUGGUACAAGCAGGAUUAAGUGGACAUGGUUGCCAUCUAUUUGUGGAAGACAAUGAAUGAGUGCUUGCUUAAGUUUGGAAAGUGUUUGAGUCUCUGUAAAGGACUGUGAACUACUGAUAAAAGGAGAAUAACUUACUAUCUCUAGAAAUCUUGAAUGGGAAGAAUGCCAGCCUUAUGUUUCCUAAUGCUGAUUUCUAAAAAAACAAUCUAGUGCCAAAGUAGAACAUUAUAGUUAUAAAAAUGUUUUUAACUCUAAAGAGAAAAAAAUUAAUUUAUGCAUAAUACAGUUAUCUAGAGGGUGCAUUCAACAUUUGUUCAAUGUUUUUUUCUUUAUAUAUGUAUAGAUAUGUAUUUCUUCAUUUAUUUAACAAAUUGUUAUUGAGAACUUGCUGUUUGCUGGCAGUGGGCUCUGUAGGAAUAGCCAUGAGCUUCUGCUCUCGUGUAAUUUUUAGUAUAUGUUAUAUUUGUUGAAAUAUAGUUCUGUAUUUUGCUUUUUCCACUUAAUAUAUCAUGGAAUUUUUCUUAUAUCAGUAAAUAUUCUCCUUCAGUGGCUAAAUAGAAUUUCAGCAUAUAAAUAUUCCUUAAUUUGUUUAAUUAAACCUUUUGUUUCACAUUUAGUGAUUUCCAGUUUUGUCUAUAAUUAUAUAAUAACAAUGUGAGAAAUAUUCUUGUGUGGUAGGCAGAAUUCUGAGAUGACUUCCAAUGACUCUCACCUCAUAUGAUUCCCUCCCCUCUGAACAUGAUGGAAUAUUACUUUCAUGAUUAUGCUAUGUUACUUGCAAGGGGAUUUUGCAGAUGUAAUUAAGGUUACUAAUCAGUUAACGUUGAGUUAAUUAAAAAGGAGAUAAUCUGGCUGGACCUAACCUAAUCACAUGAGCCCUUUAAGAGCAGAGUUUCUGCUGGUGACAGUAGAAGUCAAAGAGAUUCAGAGUUUCAAAGAGAUUCUACAGGAGGAAAGUUCUCAGUUGCUGAAAUGAAGAGGGCUACAGCAAAUAAACUAGGGACCUCAGUCCUACAACAGCAAGGAACUGGAUUCUGCAAACAGCCUGAUAGAGCUUGGAAGCAAAUUCUUCCCCAGAGCCUUCAGAUAAGACCCCAUCCUCUGACUGACAUCUUGGUUUCUGCCUUGUGAGACCCUAAAUAGAGGACCCAGUUGAGUCUACCUGGACUUCUGAUCUACAGAACAGUGAGAUAAUAAAUGGGUAUUGUUUUAAGCCACUGAAUAUAUGGUAAUUUGUUACAUAGCAAUAGAAAACUAAUCACAUUUGUAAGAAAUUAUUUUUAUAUCUAUAAUUAUUCUUAUGGGAUAAAAUCUUUGAUAUGGACUUGCUAGAUAAGAAGUAUCCACAUUUUUAAGGUUUUUGUAUCAUAUUGCUAAUUUGCCCUCCAUAAGCUUUGUAUCAAUUUAUGUGCCUCCUAACAACCUAUGUUACUAUACCCUGUCAAACACUUGAUACUGCCAUUCUGAUAGGCAAAAACAAAACACAGAAAGGUAGGUCCUUUUUUUGGCAAAAACUUUUGUCAAAAAAAUCUUGUGCAAAAAUGGCAUGUGUCAUCUGGGAAACCUGGAAGCGCAUCAGGAGGAAUGGAGUGCCUGCAUUCUUAACACAGUAGUAACACCACUCAUAAAUGAGCUUAUUGUUAUCCUGACCCAAAGCUGAUAGAUUCUGGUAAGGGAAGUGCUGAAGGGGAAAGCAGAAGUUAGCCCACAUGGGGCCUUGUGAUUGUUCUCAUGGCUUAAGAAACCUACUCUUAAAGUCUCAGGACCUACUUUCAGUGUGUGUGUGUGUGUGUGUGUGUGUGUGUGUGUGUGUGUGUGUGUAGUGGGAUUCUUCUUCUAUUUGCAAGUAAGAUUUUAUAAAAUUUUUUGAAUUGAAGAUUCACACACCCAAAGGACAUAAGAAAGACAAUAAUGAUGAUGACAUCAUUACCAUAUACUUGUUGAGCACUUUCUUGAGGUGCUAAAUACUGUGCUAAGUGCAUUACACUGUCUCAUUGAAUGUCAUUGAAUAUGCAAUAACCUUGUGAGAUAGCUGCUAUAGUUACCCCCAUUUUACAUAUAAGGGAGCUAAGGCUUCAAAUGGGUAAAUAAAUGACCUAGGAUCACAUAAGUACUAAAGAGCAGAGUCACUUCUCAAUUUUGAUCUGCUGGCAUCUUUUUUUUAUAGAUAGAAAGUAGAGGUCCUGAGAGGUUAAGACUCAUGAUCACUCUUCUUUUUCCUCUUAGUCUAUAUCUUUUUCUACAUUAUAUUCUCUUAAAAACUUGUUUAUUCCUAUGAAUUUUGUCAAGUAUUUCUAGCCUCUGUACAUUUGGCUACUAUGUAAAUGAAUACAAGAGUUACUUACUGGGUUUAUUAACUUUUAGGUAGAAUGAGAUUUAGAUUUUUUAAAAUGGAAGUAUCAAUCACUUGAUUUGUUAGUGAAGCAGUUUCUAUAAAGGAGACACUAUCUCCCAUGUGCUAUUAAAAGUUGAACCUUGUGACUACUGUCUGACUAUGUUUUUCUUUUAGAGAAGUUAGAGGGUGCAGUCUGUGACCUCAUGUAAAAAAUAGCCACCAAGGAUCUAUCCAGCAUCAUUUUUAGUUCUUUAAUUUUGGUAGGCCCACAUUUUCAAAACAGAUUAAAUUUGUCUGAUUUAUUUCAGAACUAUAUAUUAUAAAGUAUUAAAAGGCAAGUGAGAAUUCAAAUGCGUAGGGCAGAGCCAGAGAGCUUUUCAGAGAGAGGCCCUUCAGAAGGUAAGCAUUUCUCCUGGAAACUUUGAUUAUUAUAUUUUCAGAAACACAUUCCCAUUGUCUUCAUUAUUAAGAGCAUAAUAAUUGGUAUAAAUAUUCUUUUUGAUAUUCAUUUGACAUAUCCUAAAAUUGCUGCUUUCUUUUUCUUUUUUUUUUACUUUUUCAAGAGACAGAAGAAUAUUUGCUGGCAAGUUCUAGGAGGAUUCUAUCAUUUUCUUCUUUACCAUGAAGAGACUUGGAAAUUAAUGGGUAACAUUUGGCAUGAAAAUUUCUGAACAUUUUUUCUUCUUAUCUCUGAGGCCUUCUGUGGAGAAUUAAUAGAAGGUUGAAUGUGUGCAUGGAUAAAAUGGAUCAUCUUAAAGGAUUGAAGUUCCAAAAAUAUAUCAGCAGGACUGGACAGGUUUGACAUAAUGAGAUUUCUAUUUUAGUUUGACUUCUAGAACUCUGGAAUAAACUAUAAACUGAGCUAGCUACACAAGGUUUUAGGAAGGAAGUUUCUCUUUUGAAAUAUUCUAGUUGCAUAUAACAUUUUUCUUCCUCAGAACCUUUGAAAAAGUACAGUCACCAAUUUCCUGAAGAAUAAGACGAUUAGAUACUUACCAACUUUUAAUAUAUGAGGUAGGAUUGAAAGGAGCAAACUAUAUCAUACUGUUAAACAAAUGUAAUUAAAGAAAUAGACACCAGUAAGUAAGAAGAAAGAUUUCUACAUAAGCAUUGAUUGAGAUGGCAGAAGCUUCUGUGGAUGCCUCAACUCUGCCGGUAACAGUGAAAAAAAAGAAAAGCCUAUCCAUUGAGGAAAAGAUCGACAUUAUAAAUGCAGUGGAAAGUGGCAAGAAAAAAGCAGAGAUUGCAGCUGAAUAUGGAAUAAAGAAGAAUUCAUUGUCUUCUAUUAUGAAGAAUAAAGACAAAGUUCUAGAAGCCUUUGAAUCUCUAAGAUUUGAUCCAAAGAGGAAAAGACUGAGAACUGCUUUUUACACAGAUCUGGAAGAGGCAUUAAUGAGAUGGUAUCGAAUUGCUCAGUGUCUAAAUGUACCGGUUAAUGGUCCAAUGUUGCGUCUAAAAGCUAAUGAUUUUGCCCAGAAACUGGGUCAUAAUGAUUUUAAGUGCAGUAAUGGUUGGCUGGAUCGUUUUAAAUCCAGGUAUGGUUUAGUAUUCAGAGCUCAACCUGUAGAAGCUACAGGUAUAUCAGUAGACCCUUCAACUGUCUGGUGCCAAAAUGUACUUCCUUAUUAUUUAAAUGAUUAUCAUCCUAAAAAUGUUUUUAAUAUAAAAGAGACUGGGCUGCUUUAUCGAAUGUUACCUACAAAUACAUUUGCAUUUAAAGGAGAAACAUGCUCAGUUGGAAAGUUAUGCAGAGACAGAAUAACUCUUGUGGUCGGCACAAACAUGGAUGGUUCAGAGAAACUUCCUUUGCUUAUCAUUGGAAAAAACAGAAAUCCACAUUGUUUCAAAGGUAUAAAAUCAUUGCCUGUGUAUUAUGAAGCUAACAGAAUGGCAUGGAUGACCUCAGAUGUAUUUGAACAAUGGAUGCAGAAGCUUGAUGAGAAAUUUCAAGCCCAGCAACGAAGAGUGGUGAUUUUUGUUGAAUCUUUUCCCGCACAUCCAGAGGUAAAAAACCUAAAGUCCAUUGAGUUAGCAUUCUUUCCAUCAUGUUUAUCUUCUAAAUUUAUAGCUAUGAAACAAGGUGUUAUUAAAAACCUUAAAAUCAGAUACCGACAUUGUCUCAUUAAGAAAUUUUUAAGCUCUGUUGAAGGCAGCAAAGAAUUUACAUUUUCACUACUAGAUGCAGUUGAUACAUUACAUCUGUGUUGGAGGGCUGUAACCCCAGAGACUAUUAUUAAAAGCUAUGAAGAGGCAGGAUUCAAGUUGCAAAAGGAAGAAAGUGACACAACAAAAGCAGAGAAGGAUACUAGUAUCGACUUGGUUGCCGAUGCUCUGGGGGCAGGGGUGGAAUUUCCUGAAGGUUUAUCAAUAGAAGAAUAUGCUGCACUGGAUGAUGAUUUGGAGACGUGUGAAGCAGCACCAGAUGACGAUACAGUCUUGACCAAAGAAAGUAAAUCAGAUGAAACUGGAUUUUAUACUUCUGAUGAAGAAGAUGAUGGUGGAUCUCUAGGAACUGAACUCCCAUUACCAUCAAAAAAUGAUGCAAUAACUGCUUUAGAUACUCUUAAAAAAUUUCUUAGAAGUCAAGAUAUGAGUGAUGGACUUCAUGAUUCUUUGGCGGACCUUGAAAAUUGUAUUAACUCUUUGUCACCUAAGUAAUUAUUUGUUGUACUACAUCUGAAGAUUAAUAGCUUUUCCUGAUGUGUUUUACUAUAAUAAGGUAACUCGGCACAGAGAUAACAGCCAUUUUCAUGUCACUACCUGCCCAAAUGAGGAACCAUUCCCAAAAAAAGAUCCAGAAUUGCAUCCAUUUCUCAGCUACUUGGAGUGCUUUGCAGAGAGUUAUUUCCACACACCAUAUAUUGACUAGUUUCCUGUUUUGUUCUGCCCUUCCUGUGUAUAACAAGUGCUGCACUGGCACCCUGAGGUCAUGCUGGAGAAGAGUUUAAAUGCUACAAUGCCUGGAUAAUUACCAAGAAGAAAUUAAGCUUUAAACCAAAAGACACUUAGUUAUAUCUAAAUUGAAAAAUUAAGUUUGUUGUUUUUCUGCUGCCGAAUGGAAAUGGGGACUUGGGACUAAGUAAAGCUUAAUUUGUUUUAAAAAGUAAAUUUCUUCAUUC